CUUAUCUGUUGUAAGAAGCCAGUGUGGAGUCUAGCAGUUAUGAGCUCAGACUUGUCAGGUGGAUAGAGUUGGUGGUAUUGCAUAAAGUGGUAGGAUUCUGAAGCAAGCUAAAACUCUCUUGAAUGCUCAUUUCUCACCUGUGAAGUGGGCUUACUUGUAUCUUCCUCACACACUUAUGAAGACUUUGUGGUAUACUGCAGUUAUUUUUAGCUUUCAUGACCUUUUUCACAGAAGAGAAGACCACAGGUCAGCAGCAUGGAUUAGAGAAAUCCCACUCCAAGCUGCAAUGAUAACUACUAUUGUCAAUCUGGUCUCAGGAUAAAGUGUUUCCAAGUGUUACAGAUCUCAAACUGGGCUUCUUCUGAGUUCCAUGGAUUAAGCCUAACUGACGGGCAGAGAAUAAGUAGGAAAACAGGCCCUAACCCAACAGACACAAAUCCAGCUUUUCCAGCCCAGCUCUCAAGUACCAGCCUAGACCAUUUACAUUCUUCCUGGUCAGAGCUAUAGUUGCUCAAGUCUCUUACAUCUAGGUGUGCAAUAUAAAAGAAACCCUUCUGAUGGCUGCAAAUAUUCUGGGUAAAAGAAAACUCUGACUUUAGGAUAUUUAUCUGGUUGAGUUGAUGCCUUAUAGGAGAUGAAGGAGAGCUAUAUAGAAAAUCUUGGCUUUCUUCCCUAUGGACAAAGUCAAGAUUUUCCACAGCCAUGCAGGAAGUGGAUUGCAUGGCUCUCUACUGCCUUAGGUCUCAUCUUUUCUUUUUUAACUUACUCAACUAGCCAAUAUAUAGUAUGUCAUUAGUUUCAGAUAUAGUGUUCAAUAACUUUUCAGUUGCAUAUAAUACCCAGUACUCAUCUUUUUUACACUGCUUAAGGUUUUACUAUCUUUUACCCCUCAACACAAAACUAUAAAUUUAUUUCCAAGUUCUUUUUCCUGUCUAAUUUUUCUUCCUAACACUUAUCAUUAUUUUGCAUGUUAUAGGUUUCACACAUUUAUGGUGUAUAUCAUCUGUCUCACUCCACUAGAAUACUAAUCCUCUGAAGGCAGGGUUCUGUUUUCUUUGUUUAUGUCUGUGUUCUUAACAGGCCUUGUGCAUACAAGGUACUCAAUGAAUGAAUGAAUGAAUGAUCAAGGAAAAAGACACAAAUAGUUGAACCACCAAAAUGCUGACUGCUGUUUGUAUGGUUCAGUUGAUUUAAUCACAAAGGAAGCUUUAACAGAGGGAGGAAGCACCAGACUGGGGAUAAGGCAAGUCUAUCACUCUGGCAAGUUUGUCGCUUUGUUAUCUGAGCAGGUCACUUGGCCUCUCUAGGUAUCAAUUUCUCAUCUUUAAACAAGGAGACUAAGAUAGAAGAUCUCUAAAGUACCCUCUAACUCCAU